rnacentral:rRNA from 1 species
GUGGGGAAUCUUGCGCAAUGGGCGAAAGCCUGACGCAGCCAUGCCGCGUGAAUGAUGAAGGUCUUAGGAUUGUAAAAUUCUUUCACCGGGGACGAUAAUGACGGUACCCGGAGAAGAAGCUCCGGCUAACUUCGUGCCAGCAGCCGCGGUAAUACGAAGGGGGCUAGCGUUGCUCGGAAUUACUGGGCGUAAAGGGCGCGUAGGCGGACAGCUUAGUCAGAGGUGAAAGCCCAGGGCUCAACCUUGGAAUUACCUUUGAUACUGGCUGUCUUGAGUUUGGGAGAGGUGAGUGGAACUCCGAGUGUAGAGGUGAAAUUCGUAGAUAUUCGGAAGAACACCAGUGGCGAAGGCGACUCACUGGCCCAAUACUGACGCUGAGGCGCGAAAGCGUGGGGAGCAAACAGGAUUAGAUACCCGAGUAGUCC